AAUAUGGUAUCAGAGCAGUAGGCUCUUCUCCUCCGUUGUUCCGCACAAAAGUUCCCUCCAUCAUCUCUACCCAUAGCAGAGCCACCUCGUUGUGGUGUUUAACCAAGCAGUUCGUAAGCCAAAAACCUCACACAGACCAGUUUCACUUCACCACACUCCAUACCAAGUCGGCAAGUCAACUUAUUUUACUACCAGCAGCAAAUCACAUUCCUACAGGCCACCAUCAUUUCCGACAAAGUUCCAACUCAUCGGAAAACUCACGCAACGUCUAUCUCAAACUGGUUCUUUCUUCAAGAUUUUACUGUUUGUUUUGGUAGACUCGAAAUCUUAGCCUUUGAUUUUUUUAUUUGGGUUCUGCUGUGUACCAUGCUCUAAUAUGCUCUAAAUAGUUGUUUAUUCUGUAUAAAGCCAUUACAGUAGAUUAUUUUGUUGGACCAGCCCACUUACUAUACAUAUUUUUGGUUCCUUUUACACAAACUUACACCUUAGUCUCCCGGUCUUUAACCGCAUCUUGUAAGCCGAGCCCUUAACUUUCAUUUUUUCUUAACAGCCUUUGUUUUGUUCUGUUUUUAAAAUUAAAAGAAAAUGGAAAAAGAAAAUUGUUCACCUAUUCAAACAAUUUUGAAUGGCUCGAACUAUAUAAUUUGGUCUCAAGCUAUGCGCAGUUUUCUCAAAGGAAAAAGACUUUGGCGGUAUGUGAACGGGGAUUUUACUAUUCCGACAAAAGAAAAGGAUGAAGCUGACUCAAAAUUCAAGGAUCGCAUUGAAGAAUGGGAUGUCAAAAAUCACCAGGCUAUCACAUUUUUUAGAAACUCUUCAGUUUCUAAAAUUAAUUUACAGUUUGGAAAUUAUGACACCGCAAAAGAAAUUUGGGAUCUAUUGGCAUCAAGAUACACUACAUCCGAUCUUUCUCACCAAUAUCAAAUCAUGAGUUCACUAAGUAAGCAAAAGCAAGAGCCCGGUCAACCAGUUGCAGAUUUUCUUUCUCAGAUACAAUCACUUUGGGAUCAGCUAACAUUAUCUGAACCAAAGUGGUUAUAUACAGAAGAUGCUACACUUUAUCACACAUAUCGUGACCAACAACGACUCAUCCAGUUUCUAAUGGCUCUCACCCAGGAUUUCGAACCAGUUAGAGCUGCUCUUCUUCAUCGAGUUCCACUACCCUCAUUAGAAAGUUCUGUUGCUGAACUUAUUUCUGAGGAAACUCGACUUGGUCUUGGCAAGCUCGAAUCUGUGGUUGAUAAUGUUCUAGCANAUUUGGGUUCUGCUGUGUACCAUGCUCUAAUAUGCUCUAAAUAGUUGUUUAUUCUGUAUAAAGCCAUUACAGUAGAUUAUUUUGUUGGACCAGCCCACUUACUAUACAUAUUUUUGGUUCCUUUUACACAAACUUACACCUUAGUCUCCCG
rnacentral:lncRNA from 1 species